rnacentral:rRNA from 1 species
CCCUUAGAUGUUCUGGGCCGCACGCGCGCUACACUGAUGCAUUCAACGAGCCUAUCCUUGACCGACAGGUCCGGGUAAUCUUUGAAUCUGCAUCGUGACGGGGAUAGAUUAUUGCAAUUAUUAAUCUUCAACGAGGAAUGCCUAGUAGGCGCAAGUCAUCAGCUUGCGUUGAUUACGUCCCUGCCCUUUGUACACACCGCCCGUCGCUCCUACCGAUUGAAUGGUCCGGUGAAGCGCUCGGACCGCGGCCUCUUGACGGUUCGCUGUCGAUUGGCUGUGGGAAGUUCGUUAAACCUUAUCAUUUAGAGGAAGGAGAAGUCGUAACA